rnacentral:rRNA from 1 species
ACUCCUACGGGAGGCAGCAGUGGGGAAUUUUGGACAAUGGGCGAAAGCCGUGAUCCAGCCAUGCCGCGUGCAGGAUGAAGGCCUUCGGGUUGUAAACUGCUUUUGUACGGAACGAAAGACUCUGGUUAAUACCUGGGUCCAUGACGGUACCGUAAGAAUAAGCACCGGCUAACUACGUGCCAGCAGCCGCGGUAAUACGUAGGGGUGCAAGCGUUAAUCGGAAUUUACUGGGCGUAAAGCGUGCGCAGGCGGUUAUAUAAGAC